UGAUAGACUGAAACCCACGUCACUCCCUAGAAGUCAGAAUCACCCUCCGAGCCCUAGCACGCAAACUCUGGAUCGUCGCCAUUAUUCAUUCACUCAGGUCUCAUCACAAUAUUCCUGUUUUCUAAAAACAAAAAAAUAAAAACAAACUCAUUUUUAUUAGCGGAAAAUAACGCCAUUUUAAAGGCAAUUUCAGUGAAUCUCUUUUUGUAAAGCACUUUCUCCUGUGCCGUCCAUGUUUUUAUUUUUUUGAAGUCCCACCUUGUUGAUCCUUUUUCUUCCCUGUAAGAGUCUUGUGGCCGCCCACGUUUUUCUUGUGGUGGCAUGUUUGGAGGACUUCUUUCUCGUCAAUCAUUAUCGACUUUCUAUUAAUUAAAUUUCACUAAUUUUUUUUGAAAAGGGAAAAAUGUUUAAUUAAUUUCAUAAAUGAUUGAAAUUCCAAUUUUUAAUAAAAAUAUUCAACGGCCCCAAUGCCUUGGAGAAUUUUAAUUGCACCACUAGACCUAUCUCCUUAUUAUUUUCAAUUCAAAGGUCGGUUAAUUUGAGUCGUCUUAGAAUUUUGUACAUAUAUUAAUUUUAUUUUUUUUCUAUUUGCAUGAGGUUUAGAAAAAUCUUUGGUUUUUUUUGGCCUCUGAAACUUUGCCAUGAUCAAAUACAGUGAGUUUUAUUUUUCUCUAAUUUUGAGGAAAAGUGGAAAGGAUGCAGAAAGAAAACAGGGAUUUUCUUUUUCUUUUUCUUUUUCACCUACCUUGAGUAUAUAAUUCGUAUUUUUCUGUCUGAAGUUUUCUCUCUUGGCAGCUGCCUCAUGUUUAUGUACUGACAGACAGACAGGAAAGAGGUGGAGAGAGAUGGCUUUCACCUGAGACACUGGGGGUGCCCAUUUGUUCAAAUCCCAGAAAAUCACCGUACAGUCGGUCUCAGGUUGAGGGUAUUUGGUAUCGUUUGGAGAGUAGUUUUCUUUCUUCCAAGCCGCUGUGGGGGCAUUCAUGAUUUACAUGAAGCUUAUCCACAAUGUCGACUGUAGAGAAGCGUCAUGGUGAUGUAGAAGAGGGAGGUAGGCGUGGGUCCGGCGGUGUCGGUGGCUCAUACGGCGAUGAGGAGCAGAGGUGUUCGAGGGGGCCGGGGACGGAGAUUGUUGGGGUUUCGGAAAAGGGGAGGGAAUCCUCUGUGUCAGAAUGUUCAGUAGACGUGGAUCUGGGACGUGGGGUUCCGGAGAUUAAGGUGCAUUUGGCGAAAGUGGAGAGGGAUUGUAGGAUUUGUCACCUAAGCUUGGAUUCAACGAAUCAGGAGUCUGGGAUUCCGAUUGAACUGGGUUGUUCUUGCAAGGCCGAUUUGGCUGCCGCUCAUAAACAGUGUGCAGAGGCGUGGUUCAAGAUUAAGGGCAACAAAAUCUGUGAGAUAUGUGGAUCAGUUGCGCGAAAUGUUUCUGGUGCAAAUGAGGCUGAGUUGAUGGAGCAGUGGGAUGACACAACUGAUGUUGCAACUGCAGCAGCACCUGCACGCCCAACAGAGAUCCGAAACUUCUGGCAAGGCCAUAGAUUCCUGAAUUUCCUUCUAGCUUGUAUGGUCUUCGCUUUUGUCAUCUCUUGGCUUUUUCACUUCAAUGUAUCAGCAUAAAAAUCCUUUUCUCGACUGAGGCUUGAGCAUUUCUCUUGAGACAUGAUGAUCGAGAAGCAGACCAGCCUUAAGGCUCCUAGCAACUCAGCGCAGGUACCAUCCCCAGCCAGCAUGCCUUGCCCAUUCUUGCUAGAAGCAUAUUGUUCAUAUAAGAGCUUUUGAUGAACCUUGUACUUGGUUGUGUUCUAUUAUUAUUUCCUUUAUUUUCUUCUGCAUAACCUAAAAUAUUGUUGUAUACUGUUUUCACCUGGUUCCCACUGUAUUUGUUUCACUUCCUUGGCCUUCCUGGCCUCCCUUUGGUUGUAGAAUUUCUAUUGGAAACUGGAAAGACGAAUUGUGAUGCUGUACAAAUGGAGAUUGAAUUUUUAUGGUGUAA